GACGAACGCUGGCGGCGUGCUUAACACAUGCAAGUCGAACGAAAAGAGGGAAAGAGCUUGCUCUUUCCGGAAUUGAGUGGCAAACGGGUGAGUAACACGUAAACAACCUGCCUUCAGGAUGGGGACAACAGACGGAAACGACUGCUAAUACCGAAUAAGUUCCAAGAGCCGCAUGGCCCAUGGAAGAAAAGGUGGCCUCUACCUGUAAGCUAUCGCCUGAAGAGGGGUUUGCGUCUGAUUAGCUGGUUGGAGGGGUAACGGCCCACCAAGGCGACGAUCAGUAGCCGGUCUGAGAGGAUGAACGGCCACACUGGAACUGAGACACGGUCCAGACUCCUACGGGAGGCAGCAGUGGGGAAUCUUCCGCAAUGGGCGAAAGCCUGACGGAGCAACGCCGCGUGAGUGAUGACGGCCUUCGGGUUGUAAAACUCUGUGAUCCGGGACGAAAAGGCAGAGUGCGAAGAACAAACUGCAUUGACGGUACCGGAAAAGCAAGCCACGCA
rnacentral:rRNA from 1 species